GGUGGGGACCCUUCAGCGGCGGAGAGCCAGCCGUUUGUCAACAUUUUCUGAGUGCCCGCUAACAGCCGUAGACGAGCCAAAAUUUCACCUACUUUUUAUUGAGCGCCUAUUUUCAGGUGUUCCUGAGACGUCUCAAAUUAAUGGAUUCCCAGCACCAGUUAUACAGGGAGAUUUGAUGCACCUGACUUAUAAAACAUCUGGUAGGAAACCUGCAGCUCCUGAUUCUUCAGUGUUCCGUGGCCAUGAGUGAAGAUCCAAAUGAAGAAAAAACAAGAUCCUUGGCUUGCAGACAUUUGGGGGUGUCUUUGGGGAGAUAAAACAAGCUAUGGAGAAUAUUUUCCUGUAAAGGGGAAUACGUGACAUAAUGUAAACUCCAAAGCACUUGUUAUAA